rnacentral:rRNA from 1 species
UACGAGAGGCUAGCGUUGUCGGAAUUAUUGGGCGUAAAGAGCUCGUAGGCGGUUUGUCGCGUCUGCUGUGAAAACUCGGGGCUUAACCCCGGGCCUGCAGUGGGUACGGGCAGACUAGAGGUAUGCAGGGGAGAACGGAAUUCCUGGUGUAGCGGUGGAAUGCGCAGAUAUCAGGAGGAACACCGGUGGCGAAGGCGGUUCUCUGGGCAUUACCUGACGCUGAGGAGCGAAAGUGUGGGGAGCGAACAGG